AUUAGGUAAUGAGCUGAGCUGUUUGUUUGUGCGAGGAUCCGGCCGCCGCUAAUGGCCCGGCGAUUCGUCUAGUCGCCGAUUGUUGCUCGAGCGUGUGUCGUCCGUGUCGCUGAUGGGAAGUCACGACUUAAACAAUUAAACGUUAGUGAGAUCGCGAACCGGAAGCCGCGCUAUCGUCCGGAGCCGAUCAGCUGUGUGCCGGGUAAAGUGCACAAUGCACAGUGCAAAGUGCACCCUGCACACUGCACCCUGCACCGUGCGCUCUGCACACUGCACCCGCUCACAACAAACAUGCUCAUUUAAUUACUUUGUGACCCUUCCUCUAUCGCCGUUUAUUAUGUUUGCUUAUCUUAAGGAUCAUUAUCACUGUACAAAUAAACAAAUUAAUAUUAAUUAUUAUGAA